rnacentral:lncRNA from 1 species
GUUAAGAAUGACAGAAUCACUUAAUUCGAAGGAAGUAGACCCGAAAUGCAUCUCUCAGGCUUUCUGGAACCAGAGGUGUUAACUUGUGUCAGUCAUGUAUAACUGGAUACAUAUUUCUUCAGACUUUUCUUUUAGACCAUUUACUAUUGCCUCAUGUGGAACGUUGAAUGUUUCUUCUAUAUCUUGUUUUUCUAAAUUUCAAUCUGUUUUUCGAAAUUUCAAUCAUUACACUGGUUUGUAUUAAUCAUCUAUUUGAUUCAUGGGAAUGCUAUAGAAGAACCCUUAUAUAAGGCCUGUCUUGUAUGCUUUUGCUAUGGAAAAAUCGAUGUCCCUUGUAUCCAACUCGAGUCUUUUUUUCUGUUGGGAAUGAUCAUAUUUACAGAUUCGUGAUGCUUUAUCUUGUAAAGUGAAGGUCCUAAAAUGGAGUCCUAGAAGGGAACACUGGAAUGGCUGACACUUCGAAAAAUACAUCGUUGGCAUGUUCGUGAAGGAACGCAUAUAGUCAUUCCAGUUGCCCUUCUGCUCUACCUCGAAGACAUAUAUCAACCAUGAGGGUUAUUUUAGAAAGAUUCUAAAGUGGAAGUCCUAAAAUGGAGUCCUAGAGGGGAACACUGGAAUAGCUGACAUUAGUUGCAAAUACAUCGUCGGCAUUUGUAUAUGGAUACUCAUAUAGUCAUUCAGUUGCCUUUCUGCUCCACCUCAAGGAAAUACAUCAACCAUGUGGGUUAUGCUAGUAAGCUGCUGGUCUUAACGUCCUGUUACCUUCGAUAUGAUCAUAUUUACAUAUUUGUGUUGCUUUAUCCUGUAAAGUGAAGGUCCUAAAAUAGAGUCCUAGAAGGGAACACCGGAAUGGCUGACACUUUGAAAAAUACAUCGUUGGCAUGUCCGUGAAGGAACUCAUAUAGUCAUUCCAGUUGUCCUUCUACUCCACCUCGAAGACAUAUAUCAACCAUGAGAGUUAUUUUAGAAAGCUUCUAAAGUGGAAGUCCUAAAAUGGAGAGUCAUAGAGGGGAACAUUGGAAUGGCUGACAUAAGUUACAAAUACAUCGGCAUGUCUAUAAGGAUACUCAUAUAGUCAUUCCAGUUGCCCUUCUGCUCCACCUCAAGGAAAUACAUAAACCAUGUGGGUUAUUCUAGUAAGCUGCUGGUCUGAACGUCCUGUUGCCUUCGAUAUGAUGAUUUUAAGAACUGUCUGAGCAUAGUCAAACGGUUGGUUGGUGGGAGGGCACAUUUUUUAUGCUGCUUCAGAAUCUUUAAGCAUUGAGCUUGAUGUUUAAAUAAUUCUCUUAUGGAUCAUUUUCAUCUCUGAAAUAGCUAAACAAUAUUGUUUUGACCGAUCUUGUUCUGAAGUUGCCAGAAUUUUGAGUAAUUUUUAUCUCAUCAAGUGGUUUAGAUUCAGUUUCAAAUGGUUCAUUUUUUGAAAGGAUGGAAUAGAUUUGGAUUCCAUACCUUCUGUGUCUUAUUUGAUGAAUGUUUUUUACUAGUGGCAAUGUGUGUGGCUGGCUAAUCUACAGUAUUUGCGGGAAACUAACUAUUGAACAAAGAACUGAUUCCUUUGGUUUUCAUUCUUUAUGUCAUUACAUCGUAGGCAAUCUUUUGAUUUGCUCAUAUAUUUAUUCAUGUUGUUUAUGUUGGUAAGCUGCUAAUCUAAAUGUCCUCUCGUGCCAUUUAUAUGAUGAUUUUAUGGACAAACUAUUUGCUCGCCCCUAUGUCCAACUGCAUAGAGAUAUCUUUACAGAGAAUUGAGAUAUCCUUGAGGAAUGACAGAACUCGGUAAUUCUAACAUGUUUCUAUUCGUUGAACAGGAUUGUUACAUUGCAGUUUGUCAGCUACUCUCCAGGUGUUUUUUUGGGGUAGUAUUUCGGGGGAGCCCUUCUGUUGGAAGGUAAUAAGAAUAAAAGUAAUCUCUUUCAAAGAAAUCAAGUAUGUUCUUCCCUUUGAUCUUAUGGGGUGUACUCUUUCCAUGUCCUGACUUGAUCGCCCGCAGAUGGUUUCUGACAACGCAUGGAGACAAAUUCUAAGUGUUCUUUUGGUGAUCUUCAUUUUUCUGCUGCCUCUCGGAACAGUAUUUUCACUUCUGAUUCUGAUUGCAAUUGGUGGUUGUCCUCUUGAAAGGUUGUUAGGGAUUUUACUAUAUAGUGGUUCAAUUUGUGGGCGCCAUUGAUCUUUUUGAUUGGAUGGGAAGCAACUUCAAAGACAUUCGUUUGCUGAUCUUN